GAAAAUCCGAUGAGUCAUGGUCA
rnacentral:siRNA from 1 species